CAAGGGAAAGCUGCAUGACUCCAGGCAAUUCCUCCAUUCAGCCAUUCUGCUGAUCUCAACACAUGGCUAUUUCUGAGGAAAAAAGGCCUCUCAGGUCAGGACGGUGGGCCACCACAAACUCUAAGGAGGCAGUGCUCAGAGUAAAUCUACAACCGGAAAGUUCAACAGUAGUCAAAUCUAGACUGUAUUACCAGUUUCUCUACACUUAAGAAUUCAGUUUCUUUACUUCAGCAAAGUAGUUCUGAGCAGUAACCAUAAGAGGAUUGGACUACCCCAUUUAUUACAGCCCAGCCGUGUCUCAAUGACACUGGCUGCCUCGUUGCAUUACUGAGGCUCAGAAAGGCAACACAGGUUAUGAAAGAUUUUUAUACAUACGCUUCUUACUGCAACUUUAGAAGGAAACAUAUUUUACGAAGAUAAAAAGGAAAACUUAAUUAGUUUUCAUGUGCUCAGAAGGAGGGAGGGAGAAAU